rnacentral:tRNA from 1 species
UAGGAAAUAAUAUAGGGGGAGUAUGGAGAGUUUUGAUCUCUUUUGCGUGGGUUCGAAUCCCACUUUUCUAA